AUUGAACGCUGGCGGCAGGCCUAACACAUGCAAGUCGAACGGUAACAGGAAGACGCUUGCUUCUUUGCUGACGAGUGGCGGACGGGUGAGUAAUGUCUGGGAAACUGCCUGAUGGAGGGGGAUAACUACUGGAAACGGUAGCUAAUACCGCAUAACGUCGCAAGACCAAAGAGGGGGACCUUCGGGCCUCUUGCCAUCGGAUGUGCCCAGAUGGGAUUAGCUAGUAGGUGGGGUAACGGCUCACCUAGGCGCCGAUCCCUAGCUGGUCUGAGAGGAUGACCAGCCACACUGGAACUGAGACACGGUCCAGACUCCUACGGGAGGCAGCAGUGGGGAAUAUUGCGCAAUGGGCGCAAGCCUGAUGCAGCCAUGCCGCGUGUAUGAAGAAGGCCUUCGGGUUGUAAAGUACUUUCAGCGGGGAGGAAGGGAGUAAAGUUAAUACCUGUGCUCAUUGACGUUACCCGCAGAAGAAGCACCGGCUAACUCCGUG
rnacentral:rRNA from 1 species